AGUGCCAAAGAGAAUUCAGAACUACGUCCACUGGUCCAGUAACCCAUGGCCUGGCCCUGACUGGAGAUUUCGGCACUCCACAUCCUCCUGGUCCUUCUCCUCCAAGUCUGCCCACCCCUGAGGUUUCCCCGGGGGUAGCACUGUGUGUGCCCAGAAGGGAGUCAGUUUCCCCAGGAAGUAGCGGGGAUGAUUCCCGAGCGAUGAGGAAGCUAGCAGGAUGGAAGAGGACUUGAGGACUUAUUGAUGAGAUGCGGACACACAGCGAGAGGCAUGGAGUUAAGCAGAAAUCGGAGAGCACUUGGGAACGACGUGGGGCUGUGAUAAGAUGGUGGUGCUGGGCAGUAGCAGAGGGAUCUGGGAAGAUUUAGGGAGGUGUCUUUGAACUUGGGCCUAGAAAGCUGAGCCAGGCGUAGGUCAGGAGGAAAGGCCGUGAAAAUGCCUGGCCUGGGUGCACAUGGGAAACCACAGGCAGUGGUUGGGGUGGUUGGUAUGGGCUGGAGGGUGAGGGUGUGUGCGUGGCAGAGUGGAGAGAAAUGAGGAGGGGGAAGUCACUGCGUAAUAAGGACAAUG
rnacentral:lncRNA from 1 species